GAUGAACGCUGGCGGCGUGCCUAAUACAUGCAAGUCGAGCGAACAGACGAGGAGCUUGCUCCUCUGACGUUAGCGGCGGACGGGUGAGUAACACGUGGAUAACCUACCUAUAAGACUGGGAUAACUUCGGGAAACCGGAGCUAAUACCGGAUAAUAUAUUGCACCGCAUGGUUCAAUAGUGAAAGACGGUUUUGCUGUCACUUAUAGAUGGUUCCCGGCCGCAUUAGCUAGUUGGUAAGCUAACGGCUUACCACGGCAACGAUGCGUAGCCGACCUGAGAGGGUGAUCGGCCACCCUGGAGCUUGGCCACGGUCAAGACUCCUACGGGAGGCCGCAGUAGGGAAUCUUCCGCAAUGGGCGAAAGCUUGGCGGAGCAACGCGGCGUGAGUGAUGAAGAUCUUCGGAUCGUAAAACUCUGUUAUUAGGGAAGAACAAAUGUGUAAGUAACUAUGCACGUAUUGACGGUACCUAAUCAGAAAGCCCCGGCUAACUACGUG
rnacentral:rRNA from 1 species